rnacentral:rRNA from 1 species
UACGAAGGGGGCUAGCGUUGCUCGGAAUCACUGGGCGUAAAGCGCACGUAGGCGGCUUCUUAAGUCAGGGGUGAAAUCCUGGAGCUCAACUCCAGAACUGCCUUUGAUACUGAGGAGCUUGAGUCCGGGAGAGGGAUGCAGAAUUCCAGGUGUAGCGGUGAAAUGCGUAGAUAUCUGGAGGAAUACCGGUGGCGAAGGCGGCAUCCUGGACCGGCAUUGACGCUGAGGAGCGAAAGCUAGGGGAGCAAACGGG